AGUGAACGCUGGCGGUAGGCCUAACACAUGCAAGUCGAACGGCAGCACAGUACGAGUUUGCUCUUACGGGUGGCGAGUGGCGGACGGGUGACGAAUACAUCGGAAUCUACUUUUUCGUGGGGGUUCACGUAGCGAAACUUACGCUAGUACCGCAUACGCCCUACGGGUGAAAGCAGGGGAUCUUCUGACCUUGCGCGAUUGAAUGCGCCGAUGUCGGAUUAGCUAGUUGGCGGGGUAAAGGCCCACCAAGGCGACGAUCCGUAGCUGGUCUGAGAGGCGGAUAAGCCACACGGGAACUGAGACACGGUCCAGACGCCUACGGGAGGGAGCAGAGGGGAAUAUUGGACAAUGGGCGCAAGCAUGAUACAGUCAUACCGCGUGUGUGAAGAAGGCCUUCGGGGUGUAAAGCCGGUUUGUUGGGAGAGAAAAGCAGCAGGUUAAUACCCAGCUGUUCUGACGGUAACCAAAGAAGAAGCACCGGCUAACUUCGUG
rnacentral:rRNA from 1 species